rnacentral:rRNA from 1 species
AUUGAACGCUGGCGACAGGCCUAACACAUGCAAGUCGAGCGGAGCGGCGGACGGGUGAGUAAUGCCUAUGAAUCUGCCUGGUCGUGGGGGAUAACGUCCGGUAACGGGCGCUAAUACCGCAUACUAUCAGAUGAGCCUAGGGCGGAUGGGCUAGUUGGUGGGGUAAAGGCGUGCAAAGGCGACGACCCGUAGCUGGGCUGGGAGGAUGAUCAGUCACACUGGAAAUGAGACACGGUCCAGACUCCUAAGGGAGGCAGCAGUGGGGAAUAUUGGACAAUGGGCGAAAGCCUGAGACAGCCAAGCCGCGUGUGUGAAGAAGGUCUUCGGGUUGUAAAGCACUUUAAGUUGGGAGGCGUUACCAUCAGAAUAAGCACCGGCUAACUUCGUGCCAGCAGCCGCGGUAAUUC